UGGAGAUAAAGCCCAACAUGGAAAAGAAGUUGGAGAGUCCGUAGCACAGCAAAAGGAUGGAACUAAAACGACCACUCAACUCAAAUGGAUACCUUUCCUAGAGAGCAAGUUUUUAUAUGCUCUUCAAAUACUUGGAGCAAAUGCAUCGCCCAGCAAGAUAAAGAUAAUCAUGAACAUGGACACUGUUACGACGAAACAAAUUUCUGCGCAUCUACAGCCAAAGUGUCAAACAUGUGAGGGAUGUGAUGCUCAACCUGGUGGAACCAACUAUCCCGUGGCUCUGCAAAGUUUGUCGGGUGCUACAAAUUUGAAGUUGAAAAUAUAUGAUCCGACACGGGUAUGCUCCCUUUUCGCCACCUCCUAUUGUUGUUUGACAUCCACUAGAUUCCAUGUAUGUCUGCAUGAAGAUAUUUGUCAAUAUAAUCUUAUCAAGCCUGUUCCUUACAUGUGUUGCAUGUUUUCCAGAAUUCACAUGCUUGAAUCUUGAUGUUUCUUGAACACAUUUGUUGCUAUGCAUACCGCUACUGGAUAAUUUAGUCAUGUGUACUAUUCAUAGAUGUAGGAUUGAGAUUAUAGUACAGCUUGGGUUACAAAUCGUGGUAUAUGCUAACUGUUAAUUGCUAUACAAAAAGAGAGCCAUCAGAAAGCUUUCAAAGCAUGUACUUCCGUAUCUAAAAAAGGAGCUUGUACUUCUGAAUUCAGAUCUUG